rnacentral:pre_miRNA from 1 species
GAUUUCAGCUGAAAAAGUCAUCAACAAUAAAGUUGUAUAUCUCAUCAAGAUCUAUAACUUCUAUUUUGGUCAUUUCUUCAUCCGACAAAGUGAUCGUAACAUAUUCUUAAAAUUUACAUAUCUCUCUUAUAGUUUAUAAAACAGAUAUGUACAUUUUGUGAACAAUGUUACAAAUCACUUUGUCGGAUAAAGAAAUGAUCAAAAUAGAAGUUAUAGAUCUUGAUGAGUUAUACAAUUUUAUUGUUGAUGACUUUUUCAGUUGAAAUC